UACAGAGGGGGCAAGCGUUGUUCGGAAUUACUGGGCGUAAAGGGCGCGUAGGCGGCCUGCUAAGUCGAACGUGAAAUCCCCGGGCUCAACCCGGGAACUGCGUCCGAUACUGGCAGGCUUGAAUUCGGGAGAGGGAUGCGGAAUUCCAGGUGUAGCGGUGAAAUGCGUAGAUAUGCGGAGGAACACCGAUGGCGAAGGCAAUCCCCUGGGCCUGCACUGACGCUCAUGCACGAAAGCGUGGGGAGCAAACAGG
rnacentral:rRNA from 1 species